rnacentral:rRNA from 1 species
GUGGGGAAUUUUGGACAAUGGGCGCAAGCCUGAUCCAGCAAUGCCGCGUGCAGGAAGAAGGCCUUCGGGUUGUAAACUGCUUUUGUACGGAACGAAACGGUCCUGGCUAAUAUCCGGGGCUAAUGACGGUACCGUAAGAAUAAGCACCGGCUAACUACGUGCCAGCAGCCGCGGUAAUACGUAGGGUGCGAGCGUUAAUCGGAAUUACUGGGCGUAAAGCGUGCGCAGGCGGUGCUGUAAGACAGGCGUGAAAUCCCCGGGCUCAACCUGGGAAUUGCGCUUGUGACUGCAAGGCUGGAGUGCGGCAGAGGGGGAUGGAAUUCCGCGUGUAGCAUUGAAAUGCGUAGAUAUGCGGAGGAACACCGAUGGCGAAGGCAAUCCCCUGGGCCUGCACUGACGCUCAUGCACGAAAGCGUGGGGAGCAAACAGGAUUAGAUACCCUGGUAGUCC